rnacentral:rRNA from 1 species
ACGCUCGACACCUACGGGAGGCCGCAGUGGGGAAUAUUGCACAAUGGGGGGAACCCUGAUGCAGCGACGCCGCGUGAGGGAAGAAGGUUUUCGGAUUGUAAACCUCUGUCUUUGGUGACGAUAAUGACGGUAGCCAAAGAGGAAGCUACGGCUAACUACGUGCCAGCAGCCGUCGGUAAUCUGAGCGGGCUGGCAAGGC